UAUUAGCGCGUCUGGUGAAUGCUGCUUGAGCAGAGGAUCGUUUCCCUUUUAGUUCUGUUAUUUCAGCGGAAUCCAUUUUCCUUUUGUUUGAUGAUUUUAAUGUUUGUUGAGGUGAAGUUUAUUUAGAGGGAUAUUUGACUUUUUGUCUUCCUCUUCUUUCUUUACGGCACCUCGGUUUAUAACUGUUCGGUUUUCUGUGGUUUUGUCCCCACCGAAGAGGGCGCUAGAAGAGCGAGACUUGGGUAUAACUCAGUGUCCAAAAUGUUUUGUUUAUUUUUCUCUCUUUACUUGUGACACGGCAGCAGGUUAUAAACCUGUGGAAAACACCGAAGUUGUGCUAUGCAUUAGAUGCCAUAAUUAUAUAAAUAACAAAUAGAAAGUCAUUGUAAUAUAAAUGAGCAAUCCAUAUAAAUACACACAAAUGCAUCCUUAAAGCAUCAGCAAAUUACUGUAUAAAUAUCUGCAGCUUGUAUAAAUAAUUAAUCUUUAAAGCAUUACCAACAAGAUCCAUAAACAUCAACAUUAGAAUGCACAACAGCUAAUUUGUAUAACAAACAACAGACAUUACACUUAAUCCAUUUCGUUACAUACACAACACCAGAGCCAUUACUACAAUUAUCACGUUCAAAGUAGCAGAGACAAGAACCCAUUUACAAAGCCGAGUAAGUGAACCACAUCUCCCAUCAUGCACUACUGGAAAUAACUACGACUACAGCCCCCAGAAUGCAACGCGAAUCAGGAAGCAAAGUGCAAUAGCGCUUCCAUUCAAAAGUUUGUCCCGUCAUCUCAGACAAGUAAACUUAAGCAUUAAUCGGAGGAUUAAAACAACGCACUAGCCAAGCGACCAUAGUGACAAAGUCAUUAACUUCUGACCAGUUGAAAAACAGCAACUGACGAUCAAGCAGUUAACAACAAACCAGCGAGAGAAUAUUAAACCCAGCACCUUACCGGUGAUGUGCGUCGCUCUUCCAGCAUGCAAUUGGAUUUUGUCUCUGUGCGUGCUCGCUCCCGUUUAUCAACACAUUUCACGGAAUAUUACCAGCCAACGGCAAGCCAAAACACCAAACCAGAUCCUGAACAUCGGCUUGGAGGAGUUUUAUCCUGUUCCUCUGUACGGAACAGCUUGAGCUCUGAGAUGUUGCUGUGUUUCCUCACAUGACCUGCUCACACAACAUUUCUACUGGAUUAAGACUCUUACAUGCCUUGCUCUUGGAGUGAUCUUUGCUGGUCCACUCCUGAGGAGGGAAACAGUGAUCCUGAAUUUCCUCCAUCUGUCUGAUUGUGGACUGGUGGAGAUUGAUUGCCAACCCAUUGAUUGAAAAUACCUGACUCGAAUUUCACCUUCAAAUUAACUGCUAAUUCUAGAGCGGGGGCGUGGUCAAGCGCCGGUCUGUGACAGGAGGGUGGAGUCAGGGAAGGUAAGUGGCAGAAUCACUUCACCUGAGAGCAAUUAACCUGUGUUUGUGUGUCUUCCCAGUGACCGCGCCCUAUAUGAGGAGGGAGAGUGAGAGCGGAGGGAGCUCUGCCCUGAACCAGACGCCGGUUGUGUGUGUCUGUCUGGCUGUUUGAAUGAAUUAUUGUUUAGCUGAAAAGUCUAGCAAUAAAACGCUAUUUUGGAA